rnacentral:rRNA from 2 species
GAUGAACGCUGGCGGCGUGCCUAAUACAUGCAAGUCGAACGAGUUCUGAUUAUUGAAAGGUGCUUGCAUCUUGAUUUAAUUUUGAACGAGUGGCGGACGGGUGAGUAACACGUGGGUAACCUGCCCUUAAGUGGGGGAUAACAUUUGGAAACAGAUGCUAAUACCGCAUAAAUCCAAGAACCGCAUGGUUCUUGGCUGAAAGAUGGCGUAAGCUAUCGCUUUUGGAUGGACCCGCGGCGUAUUAGCUAGUUGGUGAGGUAACGGCUCACCAAGGCAAUGAUACGUAGCCGAACUGAGAGGUUGAUCGGCCACAUUGGGACUGAGACACGGCCCAAACUCCUACGGGAGGCAGCAGUAGGGAAUCUUCCACAAUGGACGCAAGUCUGAUGGAGCAACGCCGCGUGAGUGAAGAAGGCUUUCGGGUCGUAAAACUCUGUUGUUGGAGAAGAAUGGUCGGCAGAGUAACUGUUGUCGGCGU